UGGAUCCAGACUUGAUCAUGGCUCAGGAUGAACGCUGGCGGCGUGCCUAAUACAUGCAAGUCGAACGAAACUUCUUUAUCACCGAGUGCUUGCACUCACCGAUAAAGAGCUGAGUGGCGAACGGGUGAGUAACACGUGGGCAACCUGCCCGAAAGAGGGGGAUAACACUUGGAAACAGGUGCUAAUACCGCAUAACCAUGAAUACCGCAUGGUAUUUAUGUGAAAGGUGGUUUCGGCUACCGCUUUCGGAUGGGCCCGCGGCGCAUUAGCAAGUUGGUGGGGUAAAGGCUUACCAAGGCAAUGAUGCGUAGCCGAACUGAGAGGUUGAUCGGCCACAUUGGGACUGAGACACGGCCCAAACUCCUACGGGAGGCAGCAGUAGGGAAUCUUCCACAAUGGGCGAAAGCCUGAUGGAGCAACGCCGCGUGGGUGAAGAAGGUCUUCGGAUCGUAAAACCCUGUUGUCAGGGAAGAAAGUGCAUGAGAGUAACUGUUCAUGUUUCGACGGUAUCUGACCAGAAAGCCACGGCUAACUACGUGCCAGCAGCCGCGGUAAUACGUAGGUGGCAAGCGUUAUCCGGAUUUAUUGGGCGUAAAGGGAACGCAGGCGGUCCUUUAAGUCUGAUGUGAAAGCCUUCGGCUUAACCGGAGUAGUGCAUUGGAAACUGGGAGACUUGAGUGCAGAAGAGGAGAGUGGAACUCCAUGUGUAGCGGUGAGAUGCGUAGAUAUAUGGAAGAACACCAGUGGCGAAAGCGGCUCUCUGGUCUGUAACUGACGCUGAGGUUCGAAAGCGUGGGUAGCAAACAGGAUUAGAUACCCUGGUAGUCCACGCCGUAAACGAUGAAUGCUAAGUGUUGGAGGGUUUCCGCCCUUCAGUGCUGCAGUUAACACAAUAAGCAUUCCGCCUGGGGAGUACGACCGCAAGGUUGCAACUCAAAUGAAUUGACGGA
rnacentral:rRNA from 1 species